CACUAAAUGUUUUUCACGCAGUUUUAUGGAGAAGUCAGGAAGCCUAACUCUCACUAGCUUGGUGUGUCUGUUAUAGACGCUAUCUACGUCUCCGCUCACACAUCUCCACAAUUAUUGUGUGGCAAAACACAGCGAUAAGCUUCGUUCACCAACACUAGGUACAGAGACGUCGAACAACUUCUAGUGAGACAAAGCUGUGGAGCAGAUGGAAGGAGGACUCGGACGGACGCAUCCAAGUACCCACGAUUACUGUCCCUGGGACCUGAUAACCAUCCUAUUAUGACAGAAUCCAAAUGGCGACAGCGGACACUCCUUGAAUUUCGAAUGUGACGAUGGACGUCAUUGGUCAGAUGCUUCUUCAAACAAGCAAAACUAGAGAAAAAACAAUCAGAAUAUUUCAAAUGCAUGAAACGAAG